rnacentral:rRNA from 1 species
ACGUACACUCCUGCGGGAGGCAGCAUUGGGGAAUAUUGGACAAUGGGCGCAAGCCUGAUCCAGCCAUGCCGCGUGAGUGAUGAAGGCCCUAGGGUUGUAAAGCUCUUUCACCGGUGAAGAUAAUGACGGUAACCGGAGAAGAAGCCCCGACUAACUUCGUGCCAGCAGCCGCGGUAAUACGAAGGGGGCUAGCGUUGUUCGGAUUUACUGGGCGUAAAGCGCACGUAGGCGGACUAUUAAGUCAGGGGUGAAAUCCCGGGGCUCAACCCCGGAACUGCCUUUGAUACUGGUAGUCUUGAGUUCGAGAGAGGUGAGUGGAAUUCCGAGUGUAGAGGUGAAAUUCGUAGAUAUUCGGAGGAACACCAGUGGCGAAGGCGGCUCACUGGUUCGAUACUGACGCUGAGGUGCGAAAGCGUGGGGAGCAAACAGGAUUAGAAACCCCAGUAGUCCCAUG